rnacentral:rRNA from 1 species
GACGAACGCUGGCGGCGUGCUUAACACAUGCAAGUCGAACGGAAAGGCCCUGCUUUUGUGGGGUGCUCGAGUGGCGAACGGGUGAGUAACACGUGAGUAACCUGCCCUUGACUUUGGGAUAACUUCAGGAAACUGGGGCUAAUACCGGAUAGGAGCUCCUGCUGCAUGGUGGGGGUUGGAAAGUUUCGGCUGUUGGGGAUGGACUCGCGGCUUAUCAGCUUGUUGGUGGGGUAGUGGCUUACCAAGGCUUUGACGGGUAGCCGGCCUGAGAGGGUGACCGGCCACAAUGGGACUAAGAGACGGCCCAGACGCCUACGGUAGGCAGCAGUGGGGAAUAUGGCACAAUGGGCGGAAGCCUGAUGCAGCAACGCCGCGUGCGUGAUGACGGCCUUCGGGGUGUAAACCGCUGUCGCCUGUGACGAAGCGGGAGUGACGGUAAUGGGUAAAGAAGCACCGGCUAACUACGUG